rnacentral:rRNA from 1 species
UACGUAGGGGGCUAGCGUUAUCCGGAAUUACUGGGCGUAAAGGGUGCGUAGGUGGUUUCUUAAGUCAGAGGUGAAAGUCUACGGCUCAACCGUAGUAAGCCUUUGAAACUGAGAAACUUGAGUGCAGGAGAGGAGAGUAGAAUUCCUAGUGUAGCGGUGAAAUGCGUAGAUAUUAGGAGGAACACCAGUUGCGAAGGCGGCUCUCUGGACUGUAACUGACACUGAGGCACGAAAGCGUGGGGAGCAAACAGGAUUAGAUACCCCGGUAGUCCCUGAGCGGG